UACGUAGGUGGCAAGCGUUGUCCGGAUUUACUGGGCGUAAAGAGCGCGCAGGCGGUCGGAUAAGUCGAAUGUGAAAGCCCCCGGCUCAACUGGGGAGGGUCAUUCGAUACUGUUCGACUCGAAGGCAGGAGAGGGGAAGUGGAAUUCCCGGUGUAGUGGUGAAAUGCGUAGAUAUCGGGAGGAACACCAGUGGCGAAGGCGACUUCCUGGCCUGUUCUUGACGCUGAGGCGCGAAAGCUAGGGGAGCAAACGGGG
rnacentral:rRNA from 1 species